AGAGUUUGAUCAUGGCUCAGAAUCAACGCUGGCGGCGUGCCUCAGACAUGCAAGUCGAACGCGAAAGGCCCCUUCGGGGGCCGAGUAGAGUGGCGCACGGGUGAGUAACACGUAGGUAAUCUACCUCAGGGUGGGGAAUAACGACCGGAAACGGUCGCUAAUACCGCAUAACGCAGCGGCACCACAUGGUGACAGUUGUUAAAGCGGGGGAUCCUUCGGGACCUCGCGCCUGGAGAUGAGCCUGCGGCGGAUUAGCUAGUUGGCGGGGUAACGGCCCACCAAGGCGACGAUCUGUAUCCGACCUGAGAGGGUGGUCGGACACACUGACACUGAAUAACGGGUCAGACUCCUACGGGAGGCAGCAGUCGGGAAUUUUGGGCAAUGGGCGAAAGCCUGACCCAGCAACGCCGCGUGAAGGAUGAAGUCUUUCGGGAUGUAAACUUCGUAAGAAUAGGAAGAAUAAAUGACGGUACUAUUUGUAAGGUCCGGCUAACUACGUGCCAGCAGCCGCGGUAAUACGUAGGGACCAAGCGUUGUUCGGAUUUACUGGGCGUAAAGGGCGCGUAGGCGGCGUGUCAAGUCAAUUGUGAAAUCUCCGAGCUUAACUCGGAACGGUCAAUUGAUACUGAUGUGCUAGAGUGCAGAAGGGGCAAUCGGAAUUCUUGGUGUAGCGGUGAAAUGCGUAGAUAUCAAGAGGAACACCUGAGGUGAAGACGGGUUGCUGGGCUGACACUGACGCUGAGGCGCGAAAGCUAGGGUAGCAAACGGGAUUAGAUACCCCCGUAGUCC
rnacentral:rRNA from 1 species